GCGGAUGUGGUGGAAUGGUAGACACGCACGCUUGAGGGGCGUGUGGCUCACGCCAUGCGAGUUCGACUCUCGCCAUCCGCA
rnacentral:tRNA from 3 species